UUCCUUUUCGGGCGGCUGUAGGACGGACGGCCGCCUAUAGGUGGUAGGGUAGGGUGGGUGGUACCGCUCAGAUUGCGGCCAAUCUUCCUAACCGCGCGCGGGCCGGGCUUAGAGCGCGUGAAACUCAUCACUACCUCGUAAGGGCGUUGAGACCAUAGCAUGUUACACGAAAGCGCCGCUUUCUCUGUAGUAUUGUCACACAGCUGCCCGCCUAGAAGAGCCACUCGCUCUGUAGUGUUGUCACACAAGAUAAGCACGCCGCCCGCCUGCUGGCCGGGCGAAUCUAAGUUCUCUUCCGGUCAACUGUCCACCCAGUCACGUGCAAAAAAAACACAGUAGAAUCACGCAACGCACGCUGCUGGUGUGCUUCCUGCUCGCGAGGAAAGAAAGAAGAGCGACAAGGUUAAGUUCAGAUUUGACUGUUUGCAGCAUGGGAGCAGAUUACCCAAAAAAUACCUGGGAACAAUGAAAAAACAAAAAAAGAUAUCUCGGUAACGAAAACUAUAGGGGGCUGUAUUGGCGAGAUCCAACGGUGAACAGCUGCCCAAAAGAAAAACCGCCUGGAAGUCCGAGGACCUUUAGUACUGUACUCUACCCCCGAACCAGCAGCCUUCGCGCCAAGCAAGACCGCCCUUGUCCCUUUCCUUUCUCCAUUCCGCCUCCUUCUUUGCUUUGUUCCAAUAGAGUCUAAGGCAAAGCUAAAGUGGUUCGUAUGCCUACUUUACCUACUUGACGAAAGGGAACGAACUUCGUUUCGUUUCCGGGUUUAUGGAUUGGAUUCAGUCAGCCUCACUCCUUCCUUUUUAUGUUGUCGUGAUGGUUACCGGCGAACGCUCCCAAAGGCGACCCUCUCGAGUUUCCGGCUGUUUUCUAGAUUGAAGUAGCCUUUCGUCGCCCCGAAAGAAGUCACUAUCAAAGAGCUCGCCCUACUGAAGUACCAAAGGUGCGCUCAGCCCGGUGACUAAGAAAUGGGUUUGCGCUUGAAUUGAAGUGAUGAGGUUUUUCGAGGGAAGUAGGGCUCUUAUUGACUAAAAGUGGGUUCUUCGCUUUCCUUUAGAAUGAAAGUUGCUAUGAAGCCCCUACUACUUACUUUGUUUGAUUCAAAAGGCGAACGGCCCCCCAACAAGUCGUAUGGGGUGGGGUGCUUGUGAUAAGCUGCCUUGGAUAUGAGGAAUUCUAAAAAAAACAAAAAAAGGAAAAGUCCGGUAUUUGACGAAGAUCUUUCUAUCAAUAGAUAGGAAUGAGUGUUCGAUAUAGGGGAUAGAAUCCAUCUGCUCUUUCUCUCUCCAUUUUUCUUCCCCUCUAACGCGGGCCGGACGGCGGCGGGCGCGGGAGGAAGAAAGCUAAGAGAAGACGCUCUUCUCUUAGGUCCUUUUUUUUCAGUGCAGGAAAGCGCUCUCUUUUUGUCAUCCCUGCUGCUUUCCUUUCCAGAUUUUUUAUUGAACGCAUGGCGUAGCUAGGACCCUUCAAAUAAUGUUUGAGCCUAUGUUCAAACCAAACAAACCCACCUCCUAUUUGUAUUUGAGUCAGGCUGGAAAGAAUGCCCGCCAAGUUCAGAUAAGGGAAUGCUUCCCCCAACCAUUAAAGGAAAGGCUCGACGAAGGGAGGGAGAUGCGGCGGGGGAAGGAAAAGGCUUUCGGAGAUCGAGAUUUUCUUUCUUUUUCAUCGAAAACGAAGAAGGCCGAGGAUGGCCUACGGUGCGUCUUAUCUGAAGGGAACACGCUUUUUCGACCGCGGGGUGGUAUGAUUGUCGGGCCCUCUCCUCGCUGGCCUAUUGGGAUAGCAGCCUUCGGGCUUUGCCUGCCCUUUCUAAUAAAGAAUUCUGGCUCGGCCCGGGAAAGCGCUGGCAACAACAGAAAGGAAGGGGUCCAUGUAGCUGCUGCGCUCGCCCCCCUCUUAGUCAAUGGGGCAGUAGGUUUGGCAUCUACUACAAAAGAGAGAAUCCACUUUAGAUAACCACGCCUCUGCUAGGCAGCGUGUGGAAUGGCCGAGAGCGGACCUUAUUGGAUAUAUAAUCCAAGUCGAGAGUAGAGUUACGGGAACAGCCGUCUAAUGGAAAAUGACUUUCACGUUCGGUUCAGAGAGCACUUUUUUCAUUGAGAAUUCCUCGUUCCCUCUCGAUAGACCAGCGGCGAAUUCAAAACUUGUGGGGCCCUAUCUAUUCCAUCUCUCGAGCCCCGAAGAAAACCCCCCUCCCCUUCGGAUUCCAUAUCUCUUUUGACUCUAUAUAUGUGGGCACCUGAUAUCUAUGAGGGUUCACCCACCCCGGCUACAACAUUCCUUUCUAUUGCGCCUAAAAUCUCUAUUUCUGCUAAUAUUUCACGUCUUUCUAUUUAUGGUUCUUAUGGAGCUACAUUGCAACAAAUCUUCUUUUUCUGCAGCAUUGCUUCUAUGAUCUUAGGAGCGCUGGCCGCCAUGGCCCAAACGAAAGUAAAAAGACUUCUAGCUCAUAGUUCAAUUGGACAUGUAGGUUAUAUUCGUACUGGUUUCUCAUGUGGAACCAUAGAAGGAAUUCAAUCACUACUAAUUGGUAUCUUUAUUUAUGCAUCAAUGACGAUAGAUGCAUUCACCAUAGUUUCAGCAUUACGGCAAAGCCGUGUCAAAGAUAUAGCGGAUUUGGGCGCUCUAGCCAAAACGAAUCCUAUUUCGGCUAUUACCUUCUCCAUUACUAUGUUCUCAUACGCAGGAAUACCCCCGUUAGCCGGCUUUUGUAGCAAAUUCUAUUUGUUCUUCGCUGCUUUGGGUUGUGGGGCUUACUUCCUAGCCCCAGUGGGAGUAGUGACUAGCGUUAUAGGUCGUUGGGCGGCCGGAAGGUUGCCACGAGUAAGUCAGUUUGGGGGACCGAAGGCAGUUCUCCGUGGACCGGACACGUAGCUUACCGAAUCAGUUGCGACACGGAUGGGAAUGCAUGCUACGAAAGAGAGGGUCGAGUCUGAUACAUCAACCGUCUACUCAAUAUCCUUGUACGAGUCCACAAUCACUACACGAGAUGAACCUUGGUUAGGUGAAUUGAAGUUGGCCUUAGGUGUAAUAGGACUCCCAGUUACUAUACGCGAUCGUCUACUGAGGUGCUCCCCGCCGGUUGUUGGAACGAUGUGAGCCGGGCCGGUUCUCGAUUCAGAAAGAUGAAGGGCCGAAAAGUCUAAAUAGGGAGUUAUAAAUUCCCCAUCUCAUUGGGGGCGGAAAACGAAUCGACAUCUCGAUGUGAUACAGCCUUUUCUAUUUUAGUUGGGAAAGAACGGCGAAGUCCAUCCGAACCGUCCAAUGAAGAAUAAGAGGAGAGCAAAGCGCCAAUGGCGCGCGAAGCGCAUGCGGAACGGGCACGGAGAAAAGGAAGUUUGGAGGAGAAGCAGCCGAGCUCAUUCCCUUCGCUUCCUGGGCCCAAAGCAUUGUAGUCUUUCCUGGCCAAAUCAAGGAUUUGGGGCUUCUUGCUACGCUACUUCACUAGAAAAAUACUUUUUUAGUAAUAUAUAUAAAUAGAAAGAUAGAUCCAUCCAUCUAUCCUAUCCGAUUUCUAUUUUGAUAUCGAAAAAAGAAUCUAUUUCAUUCAACGUUUGAUUCAAAGAACUGUGCUUAGCCCUCCCCCGCUCAUGAAAGGGCUCUGCUGCAAUGGAUGGCAGAGGGUCCGUAGUACUCGAAGCACUGGAGUGAUCCAGUAGCCGGGAAGGGGCCUAGAAGUGCCUACUACUACACCACACUACACUUGGCUCUACACAUUUACAGAGCUAACCCCUGUCCAGUGCCUGGCAGAGCUAAGGGGGCUUCAAUCCUUACUCUUUAUCCUCAUCUUCGCCCAGGCUAACGGGGCCUUACUUAUUCAGGGGGGAGAGUGGAGCCUCGAGAAGCACUGUUGAGAGGAAGAUCUUUGGCCCCUCUUCAUUCUCUAUAGGGUUCCAAACCUUUCUUCAACAUAGGUGACAAGGAGCGAGGCCGCGAUGGAAGAGAUCAAACACGGGAAUAAGAAGUAAUUCCAUUACCUUUUUUUUUUUCAUUUUUAUAGAGGGGGAUGGAGAAAGUGGACAAAACAGACUCGCAUUUCUCAUCGAACAAAUACAGGAAAAGAAUCAUAUUGAAAACGCUCCUAACCCAAGCCCUUCCUUCGUAGAGCCAUGUAUUGUAAGUGAUCCGAACCUGCCCGGAGCGAGCCCCCAUAGAGGCAAGUGAAGUUGGUGAGCCGUAUGAUGGGCAACUAUCUCCUGCGGUUCGGAGAGGACUCAGCUGUUAGUUAGUACCCCCUUGGUUUCGGGGUGGACCCUUUCACUCUAUUUUAUUAUAUACGCUUAGUGAAAAGAAUGUUUUUUGAUACACCUAGGACAUGGAUUCUAUAUGAACCAAUGGAUCGUGACAAGUCGUUACUACUAGCAAUGACUUCCUCUUUCAUUACUUCAUUCUUUCCAUAUCCCUCUCCUUUGUUCUCAGUUACUCAUCAAAUGGCACUCAGUUCAUAUCUUUAAUUUAAGUUCGAUCA
rnacentral:lncRNA from 1 species